AAUGUUAGGUUCUGGUUAUGGAAGUGGGUCAUGUUGAAGAAUGCAGAGCGCGUGCCACUCCUACUGCGGAAAAAAAAAAGUUUUAAACUUCCAUUUUCAUUCACGUUCUCAACUCAUCACAUAAACCUUAACCGGAAUCAAAAUCCACUCUCUUUUCUCUUCCAUUUCAUCAUCGCUACCAUACUGCUACUUCCAUUCGCAGCUUCUUUGUUUGUUAAGUGACUUGACUGGGGCGAUGCACAUCAUUUAGUUUGGAUGGUAUGUUAUGGAGAUUAGUUAGAAAAGGCCAGUGAUAAAGUUUUUAGAUCAG